GGAGGGCAACCAUGGUCCUAGAGAUGAUAUGCCAGGGAUGACCUCACUGUCUACCAAUGUGUGCGAAAGGACCAACUCUUCAACAACUUUGAUGUUACGUAUGAGGAGUGUAGACCACCGAUUCUGUUCCAUUACAAGAGAAAGGGCCGUGUAACGGGAAAGGGCCUGAAAGAAGAUUAAGCAUUAUGAAGAAAGAGUAGCUUUACGGCCCAAUGGGAGAUAACUUGGUGGACAAGGAGUCGACUUGGGGUCUAGUAGUAGCAGCCUAUGAGGUGUCAAUAAGACAAGGGAACCACAGCACAUGGGGUGUUGGAUCUGGAGCCGUUGUGAGUGACAAGAGGAAUAUCUCCUUUAUAAGUCACGUGAGUACGUUAGGAAGAGUAUCAAGUUAUUGGUCAUCAUGUUCAUGUCAUGUUAGAAAGAGAAGUUGGGACUUAUCUUUCUAUUGUAACCUUUUCUUGAAGAUCAAUACAAUCUGAGUGUUUUAUUUAAUCCAGUUUACAUUAAAGAGAGUAGCAAAACGUAACAAAUUGGUAUCAGAGCGGUAGAUCCUGACAUCAUGCCACCGAAGAAAUCCGAUUUGGAGCAAGCAAUGGAACAGCUUCAGGUAGAUCUGGGGAAGCUGACGGCCCUGGUCGUGGAGCAGAGAGUGGAACAGCGUCAAGAAGGAGGACGAGUAACGUCGUUGGAGAAAUCUAUGGAGGCGAUGCAACAACAAAUGGGUAGGCUGAGUGUCCUGGAACGUCUCGAGCAACGUUUUCAAGAGGAAGACGAGGCCAAGAAGAAGUUGCUCGAGCUUGACAAAGGGAAGAGACAUGAAGUAGCUGAAGCCUCAACGGGGAGGUUCAACGUCGCCGAGAGCAACUCACCCGUAACAAAACAGAGCCCAGCGAACAAACCCAUUGUGAUUGAAGAGAACGCAGAAGGGUCCGUGCAGAAGGUCUUUGCAACCUCCCGAUACACCAGAUCUAGCAGUGGACAACCGUCGGAUAGAAGAUCUCUUACCCAACAACUCGAGAUCCCAACUUUUGACGGAGAAGACGCUGAUGGGUGGAUCUUGCGUGUUGACCAGUAUUUUGAGAUCGAAGACUUUACGGAGGAAGAGAAAAUGAGGGCGGUACGAAUGUGUUUCCUCGGAGAUGCCUUGUUAUGGUAUCGAUGGGAACGAGAUCGGCGAGCGUUCCAAGACUGGGGACAGAUGAAAGCUAGAGUCUUGGAACAGUAUUCGAAGACACAAGACUCUACCGCAGGAGAGAGGUUACUGAAACUAAAACAAGAAGGUACGGUGCGCGAGUAUUGUCGGGACUUCAUCGCCCUGGCGACAAACGCGCCGGAAAUCGCAGACAACGUGCUGGAGAUGGCGUUCAUGAAUGGACUAAAACCUCGGAUAAGAGCGGGAGUAAAGAUGUUUGAGCCUAAGAGCCUGCAGAAAAUGAUGGAGACGGCAAAGCUGGUGGAAGAAUGGUCGACGGGGGAAAUCUCCGACGAAACUCCAACGUCGAAAGGAGGAACCUCGACGAAAUCCAUUAACCCACGACAAACAGGCCCAAAUUGGUCUUCGGGCCGAGCGCAAACAUCAAAGCCCAAUAACCAUAAGUCCAGCCCAGGAGGAUCAAAUACACCUGCGUCGCCUAGGGGUCAAACAAGCCGACCAAAUAUCGCACACCAUCGCCUCAAACCGCCGUUCCGGCGACUCACACCCGCGGAACGAGCAAAAUGGCUGGCUGAAGGCCUUUGUUUCAAGUGCGACGAGAAGUUUGAUGCACAACACGAGUGCCCACGGAAGGAAUUGAUGGUGGUGAUGGUCUACGACGAUGGUACCGAAGAGGAGCUGACGGAGGAGAUGAUAGAAGAAGAGAGGAACGGAGAUACAGAGAUAGCGGAGUUGUCCAUGAGCUCAGUGGUGGGCAUGUCCUCACCUCACACGCUAAAGUUGAGAGGAUCGUUUGGUACGCGAGACGUGGUGGUGCUCAUCGACAGCGGUGCUUCACACAAUUUCGUCUCAGAGAAGCUAGUCAGUGAACUGGGGUUAAAACUCACAGACACCUCGAGUUACGGUGUAAUGGUGGCUGGAGGAACAAGAAUCAAAGGGAAAGGAGUCGUUGAUGGAAUGGAGCUGCAGAUCCAGGGGCAUAAGAUUGAAGCAAGCUACUUGCCAUUGGAAUUAGGCAUCGCUGAUGUCAUUCUGGGGAUACAAUGGUUAAACACUUUGGGAGAGACUCGUUUCAACUGGAAGCUACAAUGGAUGAAAUGGAAAGAAGCGGAACGUGAGAUACAGUUACGAGGAGACCCAAGCCUACACACAGCGGAGGUCUCACUGAAAGCAAUGAGAAAAGUCUUGGAGCAAGAAGGAGAAGGGAUCAUUGUUGAAUUUGGAGGUAUAAGGAAACAGGAGGAAGCGCAAAAGAGAUUAGAGACAGGAAGAUGGAAGGGAGUUUUGGAGCAGUAUUCAGAGGUGUUUGAAGAACCAAAAGGAUUACCACCUUCCAGGGGAAAGGUCCAUGCCAUCACGCUCAAAGAAGGAGCUAAUCCGGUGAGCGUUAGGCCUUUCAGAUACCCUCAAGCUCAGAAGGAGGAGAUAGAGAGACAGAUCACCACAAUGUUGGCAGCAGGUAUUAUUCAGGAAAGCAGCAGCCCCUUCUCAAGCCCGGUUCUACUAGUGAGGAAGAAGGAUGGGAGCUGGCGUUUCUGUGUAGACUAUCGAGCGCUUAAUCAGGUCACGGUAGCAGACAAGUACCCGAUACCAAUGAUUGACCAGCUUCUCGACGAGCUCCAUGGGGCUAGAGUGUUUUCGAAACUUGAUUUAAAGGCAGGCUAUCAUCAGAUUCUAGUGAAGAGCGAGGACGUACCAAAAACUGCGUUUAGAACACACGAUGGGCAUUAUGAAUUCUUAGUAAUGCCCUUCGGUCUCUCUAACGCACCAUCUACGUUCCAGUCACUCAUGAAUGACGUGUUUCGUCCGUACUUACGCAAGUUCGUAUUGGUGUUCUUCGACGACAUACUUGUCUACAGCAGAACGGAGGAAGAACACAUGGAGCACUUGGCAGUGGUGUUGAAGCUGUUGUCUGUUCAUCAGCUGUACGUAAACAAGGGUAAAUGCGAGUUUGGAAGUCAAAGGGUGGAGUAUCUUGGUUACAUCAUAUCAGCAGAGGGAGUAUCAGCUGAUCAGGAGAAAAUACGAGCAAUGGAGGAAUGGAAAACACCAAGGAACGUAAAGGAGCUCAGAGGGUUCCUCGGUCUCACAGGUUAUUACCGGAAAUUCGUAAGAGGGUAUGGGGAGAUUGCAAGGCCUCUUACGAAACUGCUGAAGAAAGACAAGUUUGUGUGGGAAGAAGAGGCAACAGUGGCUUUCAGGAAACUGAAGGAGGCAAUGAUCACAGUUCCGGUAUUAGCAAUGCCAGACUUCAAAUCUCAGUUCGUGAUUGAGUCUGAUGCAUCAGGAAGCGGUCUCGGAGCAGUUCUCAUGCAACAUCAGAGGCCAAUAGCCUUUUUCAGUCAAGCAUUAUCGGAACGACAGAGGCUGAAGUCUGUCUACGAGAGGGAAUUGAUGGCGAUAGUGUUUGCGGUCCAGAAGUGGAGGCAUUACUUGAUUGGGCGCAGGUUUUUAGUAAGAACAGAUCAGAAGAGUCUGAAGUUUUUGUUGGAGCAACGAGAGGUGAAUUUGGAUUAUCAGAGGUGGCUCACCAAGCUGUUGGGGUUUGAUUUUGAGAUACAAUACAAACCCGGACUACAGAACAAAGCAGCAGACGCACUCUCACGAAAGGUAACAGUGGCUGAGCUUCUAGCUGUAACACUUUCACGGGUGAUAGAGCUAGAGGAUAUUAGUAGAGAGGUGGAGAAUGAUCAAGAGUUGCAGCGUGUGAUCAAAGAGAUUGAGGAGGAUGCGGGGAAGCAUCCUGACUAUGCAAUAGUCCAGCAGCGUUUACUGAGACAGGGGAAGAUAGUGGUACCGAAACAAUCUGCACUGACAGGGUUGAUCAUGCGAGAGUUUCACUGCAGUAAACUAGGAGGUCAUGGAGGGGUGUUGAAAACUCAGAAGCGAAUUACUGACGUCUUUUACUGGGAAGGAAUGUUGACAGACAUCAGGAGGUUUGUGGCAGCUUGUCAAGUUUGUCAGCGAAGCAAAUACUCCACACUAACUCCGAGUGGGCUGUUGCAACCGUUACCAAUUCCAGAGAAGGUUUGGGAGGAUGUGUCACUUGAUUUUGUGGAAGGGUUACCACGAUCUAAAGGAAUUAACGCGGUCUUAGUUGUGGUGGAUCGGCUCACGAAGUUCGCUCACUUCAUAGGCCUCAAACACCCAUUCAGCGCAGUGGACGUCGCAACAAUCUUCAUACAGGAGGUGGUCAGACUACACGGGUUCCCGCGGUCGAUGGUUUCUGAUCGUGAUAGGGUGUUUACAAGCGCUUUCUGGAAGGAGUUGUUCAGACUAUCAGGUACAGCUCUCAAUCUGAGUACGGCUUAUCAUCCGCAGUCUGAUGGACAAACGGAGGUGACCAACAGAGGCAUGGAGACUUACCUUCGAUGUUUCGCGAGUGAGAAACCAAAGUCGUGGGCUGAGUUCUUACCUUGGGCAGAGCUGAGCUACAACACGUCCUAUCACUCAGCUAUUCAAACAUCACCGUUUAAGGCUUUGUAUGGGAGAGAGCCACCGACGCUGGUUAAGUAUGAGAAUGGAUCUACUAACAAUGCAGAGUUAGAGGACAGGUUGAGAGAGCGUGAUCAGAUGCUGAUGAUUAUAAAGGAGCAGUUGCAUAAGGCGCAACAAAUCAUGAAACAACAGUCUGACAAACACAGAAGGGAUGUUGAACUACAGGUGGGAGAUAAGGUGUAUUUGAAACUCAGACCGUAUAGGCAGCAGUCACUGGCUCGUCGUGCGAAUGAGAAGUUAGCAGCCAGAUACUAUGGGCCCUUUACAGUCAAAAGCCGAGUGGGGAAAGUAGCUUAUAAACUGGAUUUACCAGAGGAGACCAGAAUUCACUCUACCUUUCACAUCUCGCAACUGAAGAAGGUAGUGGGAGAAGCAGAAGAAGUGUUACCUAUACCUAAGCAGCUAUCUCAAGACGGAGUGUUGGAGUUGGAACCUGAAAGAGUGCUACAAGCAAGAAUCAACACAGUAACGGGUCAGGAAGAAAUGUUGGUCAAGUGGAAAGGAAUGCCUGACUAUGAAUGCUCGUGGGAAUGGAGUUCAGUGCUGCGUGAUCAGUUUCCUUCCUUGAACCUUGAGGACAAGGUUAAUUUGGAAGAGGGGAGAAAUGUUACGUAUGAGGAGUGUAGACCACCGAUUCUGUUCCAUUACAAGAGAAAGGGCCGUGUAACGGGAAAGGGCCUGAAAGAAGAUUAAGCAUUAUGAAGAAAGAGUAGCUUUACGGCCCAAUGGGAGAUAACUUGGUGGACAAGGAGUCGACUUGGGGUCUAGUAGUAGCAGCCUAUGAGGUGUCAAUAAGACAAGGGAACCACAGCACAUGGGGUGUUGGAUCUGGAGCCGUUGUGAGUGACAAGAGGAAUAUCUCCUUUAUAAGUCACGUGAGUACGUUAGGAAGAGUAUCAAGUUAUUGGUCAUCAUGUUCAUGUCAUGUUAGAAAGAGAAGUUGGGACUUAUCUUUCUAUUGUAACCUUUUCUUGAAGAUCAAUACAAUCUGAGUGUUUUAUUUAAUCCAGUUUACAUUAAAGAGAGUAGCAAAACGUAACAUUUGAUUUGUCUCAUCACCAAAAACUCUUAGGGCACAUCAUCUUCCAAGUUCACCAAGAAGGCAGGCAUCGCAAAGGCACGCACGCAUC
rnacentral:lncRNA from 1 species